rnacentral:rRNA from 1 species
AUUGAACGCUGGCGGCAGGCCUAACACAUGCAAGUCGAGCGGAUGACGGGAGCUUGCUCCUUGAUUCAGCGGCGGACGGGUGAGUAAUGCCUAGGAAUCUGCCUGGUAGUGGGGGACAACGUUUCGAAAGGAACGCUAGUACCGCAUACAUCCUACGGGAGAAAGCAGGGGACCUUCGGGCCUUGCGCUAUCAGAUGAGCCUAGGUCGGAUUAGCUAGUUGGUGGGGUAAUGGCUCACCAAGGCGACGAUCCGUAACUGGUCUGAGAGGAUGAUCAGUCACACUGGAACUGAGACACGGUCCAGAAUCCUACGGGAGGCAGCAGUGGGGAAUAUUGGACAAUGGGCGAAAGCCUGAUCCAGCCAUGCCGCGUGUGUGAGGAAGGUCUUCGGAUUGUAAAGCACUUUAAGUUGGGAGGAAGGGCAGUAAGCUAAUACCUUGCUGUUUUGACGUUACCGACAGAAUAAGCACCGGCUAACUCUGUGCCAGCAGCCGCGGUAACAC